CGUAGGUGGCGAGCGUUGUCCGGAAUUAUUGGGCGUAAAGGGCGCGUAGGCGGCUCUUUAAGUCAGAUGUGAAAACCCAGGGCUUAACUCUGGGAGUGCAUUUGAAACUGAAGAGCUCGAGUGCAGGAGAGGUAAGUGGAAUUCCUAGUGUAGCGGUGAAAUGCGCAGAUAUCGGGAGGAACACCAGUAGCGAAGGCGGCUCGCUGGGCCAUACCUGACGCUGAGGCGCGAAAGCGUGGGGAGCAAACAGGAUUAGAUACCCUGGUAGUCCACGCCGUAAACGAUGAACACUAGGUGUGGGCGGAGUCGAAUCUGUCCGUGCCGCAGCCAACGCGAUAAGUGUUCCGCCUGGGGAGUACGGCCGCAAGGCUA
rnacentral:rRNA from 1 species